rnacentral:rRNA from 1 species
GUGGGUAAUCUUGCGCAAUGGGCGAAAGCCUGACGCAGCCAUGCCGCGUGAAUGAUGAAGGUCUUAGGAUUGUAAAAUUCUUUCACCGGGGACGAUAAUGACGGUACCCGGAGAAGAAGCCCCGGCUAACUUCGUGCCAGCAGCCGCGGUAAUACGAAGGGGGCUAGCGUUGCUCGGAAUUACUGGGCGUAAAGGGCGCGUAGGCGGACAGUUUAGUCAGAGGUCAAAGCCCAGGGCUCAACCUUGGAAUUGCCUUUGAUACUGGCUGUCUUGAGUACGGGAGAGGUGAGUGGAACUCCGAGUGUAGAGGUGAAAUUCGUAGAUAUUCGGAAGAACACCAGUGGCGAAGGCGACUCACUGGCCCGUUACUGACGCUGAGGCGCGAAAGCGUGGGGAGCAAACAGGAUUAGAAACCCUGGUAGUCC